rnacentral:lncRNA from 1 species
UCAACAUCAAAACUGCUUCUCAUGUUUAUAUUUGGUGAAUUGGCCCUUUGGGAUGAAGGUAAGGAAAUCUGAUUGUACAUGUUAGACAUCAAUUCUACAAGGAUUUGGGUUGGUUGCAAGGAUUAGACUUUUGAGAAAAUUCAAAGGCAACAAGAGGGGAGAAGAAAGAGUUGAUCGAGAGAGAUUGGAUGUGGUUCAAAAAUCCUGAUAUGAACAGAAUCACCUAACAUGGGUGUUAGAAAGACAAGAGAGAAAAAUGGUCAGGGAAAAAACAAUAAAGGAAGGUACAAAGCUACAAAGAAAAAGGAGGGCCACUUCUGUAGUAGCUCAGUAGUUAAAGCAAGCCUUAAAGGGUGUCACUCUGUACCUCUCUGGGUGUGUUUUAAUUGAUGUUUUGUUGGCUUGUGUUGCAUAUGCAAGACUUUAUAUCAUGUUUCUGUGUUUUCCUAAUUCCUUAACAAACACAAGCAGGUGGGUUUUUUUUGGUUUACUACAAAACAAAAGAGAAAACUCUAAUCAAACAUGUAUUAGGGGAUUGAAGAGAUGGAUAAAAGAACCAAACAGUCAAAACUUCAAGAGAAAUCUCAUCAGAUAU